UGUAAGUCUUGACUCUACAGAACUUUUUGUAUCAUUGAUAAUGUUGCUCCUUAUCCUCAUGAUAUUUUCCCUUUGUAAGGGUAAUGUUGAUGCUGAAGUGAUAACAUCAUUCUUCACAAAGCAGCAUGUUUUAGCAGGAAGAGAUGUUACACUUUCCUGCAACUACAGUGGUAAUGUUCGCAGUCUGCAGUGGUACCGUCAGCAUCCCGGAUCCAAACCUGAAAAUAUAAUUUGUUACACUGAGAGCAGCAGUCAGUCAGAGCCCAAGCUUCGUCUGGAUGCUGUGGCUGAUAAAGGAAGCAAACUUAUGAAUCUGAGCAUAUCUUCUACACAAAUGGAUGGUUCUGCUCUGUACUAUUGUGCUCUGCAGCCCACAGUGACGGGAAACACAACUGCACUGUACAAAAACAGACGGUCAGGACACACACUGUAAUAAUUACCAAACAUUACUAACAUGUACAAUAAGGAAAAAUGAAAGAUAAUUAAGAGAGCUGGUAACUGCACAUCAACCAGUGUAAAGAUCUUUGAAACUUGUGGUUACAGUAGUUUAACACUGUAUAUUUUCCACAUAGCUUAUUGUCCAAAAGAAACAUUUAAUUUUUUUUUUUUUUUUUUUUUUUUUUUGUGAAAUCAUUAUAUAUGAUUAAACAGCAGCCAUACUUUAAAAUCUUCAUUUUAAUUAGAGAGUAUGCUAAAAUAUAUUCACAUACAGUCAGUAUUUGUAGGGGAAGAUGAAAAAGUAGGUUUGUGUGGGAGGAGCUCAAUGUUUUGUCCACUUUAGCAGAAGAAAUUGUUGAGACAACACUGACUUUCCUUCAUUGAGAAGUCUAAACACAAACUACAGAAACAUGUUACUCAUCUCUUCUGUUUUAAUUUUUAUCCUCAGUUACUGUAAGUACUGCUAGUCAUAUACAUUUACACCUUAUUUAUAUACAG